GGCUGUAUAGUGUAGUGGUUCAGCACACGGGAUUUUGACUUCACGUAUUACGUAAGCUUCCCGUGACCCCGGUUCGAACCCGGGUACGGCCU
rnacentral:tRNA from 1 species